rnacentral:rRNA from 1 species
CCUACGGGAGGCAGCAGUGGGGAAUAUUGGACAAUGGGCGAAAGCCUGAUCCAGCCAUGCCGCGUGUGUGAAGAAGGCCUUUUGGUUGUAAAGCACUUUAAGUGGGGAGGAAAAGUUGACGGUUAAUACCCGCCAGCCCUGACGUUACCCACAGAAUAAGCACCGGCUAACUCUGUGCCAGCAGCCGCGGUAAUACAGAGGGUGCAAGCGUUAAUCGGAAUUACUGGGCGUAAAGCGAGCGUAGGUGGUCAUUUAAGUCAGAUGUGAAAUCCCCGGGCUUAACCUGGGAACUGCAUCUGAUACUGGGUGACUAGAGUAGGUGAGAGGGAAGUAGAAUUCCAGGUGUAGCGGUGAAAUGCGUAGAGAUCUGGAGGAAUACCGAUGGCGAAGGCAGCUUCCUGGCAUCAUACUGACACUGAGGUUCGAAAGCGUGGGUAGCAAACAGGAUUAGAUACCCUGGUAGUC